UCCGCAGGGGGCCUGCCAAGUCUGUCGUGAAAUCCCGGGGCUCAACCCCGGGUCUGCGGUGGAAACAGGCGGGCUAGAGUGUGUGAGGGGCAGACGGAACACCUGGUGUAGCGGUGGAAUGCGUGGAUAUCAGGUGGAACACCGAUGGCGAAGGCGGUCUGCUGGCACACAACUGACCCUCAGGGACGAAAGCGUGGGUAGCAAACA
rnacentral:rRNA from 1 species